UACGUAGGGGGCAAGCGUUGUCCGGAUUUAUUGGGCGUAAAGAGCGUGUAGGCGGCCAGACAGGUCCGUUGUGAAAACUCGAGGCUCAACCUCGAGAUGUCGAUGGAAACCGUCUGGCUAGAGUCCGGAAGAGGAGAGUGGAAUUCCUGGUGUAGCGGUGAAAUGCGCAGAUAUCAGGAAGAACACCAAUGGCGAAGGCAGCUCUCUGGGACGGUACUGACGCUGAGACGCGAAAGCGUGGGGAGCGAACAGG
rnacentral:rRNA from 1 species